UUUAGAUUCUGUUUCCACUUUGGGGUCUUCUAUUGUUUUGUUCAUUUCCUUCCACUGUUUGUGUUUUCAUAGACUUUUAAAAAGUGAUUUGUUUCUUCUUUAUGGACCUCAAUUGUAUGCAUAAAUGCUAUUUCGAGGUCUUUUUCUUGUGCUUCAGCUAUGUUGGAAUACUCAGUGCCUGCUUUGGUAGGGUUGCUGGGCUCAAGUGAAGACAUUGUCCUCAAUGUUGAUUGUGUUUUUGCACUGGCGUCUAGGCAUCUAGAAUCGGGAAGAUUGUAAUUCUAGUCUUAUCUUGCUGGGUACAUAUUCUGUUCCUUGGCUUCUAAUUCCUAUCUGGUUCUUAGGUGAGUAUGGUGACUGUGUGUUGCCUAGUGGACAAUUCUUCUGGGGUCCUGAUACAAGUGAACACUAGUUAUUCCAGUUUAUAUUCCAUCAUGAAGAGAAGUCGGGGAAGGCACUUGAGCCAGGCCUUGAUACCGAAGCCAUGUAGGAACUCUGCUUACUGCCUUACUUCCCAUGUAUUUUUCAUCUUGCUUUUUUGUAUCACUCAGUCCCACCUGCCCAGAGAUGGAACUACCUACAACUGGCUAGGACCUUUCACAUCAAUCAUCAAUAAAACAAAACAACAACAACAA